rnacentral:pre_miRNA from 1 species
AAUAAGUGUAGUUUUACAUUGUUUAUAUUCGAUGUUUGAUUAUUUGUCUUAUUUAAAAUAUUAUUAGUAUUUUUAUUAUUAUUAGAUGAUUAAAUAUAAAUAAUACUUUACGUGUGACUAUCGUUCAAAAUUUUUAAAUAAAAUUUUCCAGUAAAACGAAUGGUCAAGCGUUGAACACUGAAAUCCAUAAAUGUAGUUAUA